rnacentral:lncRNA from 1 species
AUUCUGCUGUCCUUUGGAGCAGGAGGCUUCCAACAGAAAGAUGUUUAGCUACUAAUGGAUUCUACCUGAGUUGCCGUCUAAACAGCAAACACCUUUGCAGCUGCAUGAAAUCUUUCCCAAUUCAGGUGGCUCUACUGGGCACUAGUGAGUGACCUCAGCUCUGUAGGCUUCAGUUACUCUCUGGCAGGAGAAGUGAAGUCGUUUAAUCUGAGAAGCAUUCUGGGACCCCCAUCAGGGUCUCCUCCCUUUUCCAGUGGUUUCCAAGGUAUCGACUGCUGCAUCACAUUUGAGUCACCAUGGGACUGGGGAAACUGUCACAGAAGCAGAUCUGGCUUAUGGACAGGAAACACAAGGGAGAGAUAAGCAACCACUUUCCAGGAUAAAAAGCAUAAGGAAAGGAUCUCCAUGGCAGUGUCGGAACUUGUUUGUUUGUUUAGUUUUGAUGUUUUUCUUUGCUGACCCAGA